rnacentral:rRNA from 1 species
UGGGGAAUUUUGCGCAAUGGGCGAAAGCCUGACGCAGCAACGCCGCGUGUGUGAUGAAGGUCUUCGGAUUGUAAAGCACUUUCGACCGGGACGAAAACCCUCUGGCCAACACCCAGGGGCUUGACGGUACCGGGAGAAGAAGCACCGGCUAACUCUGUGCCAGCAGCCGCGGUAAUACAGAGGGUGCAAGCGUUGUUCGGAAUUAUUGGGCGUAAAGCGCGUGUAGGCGGCUUUGCAAGUCGGGUGUGAAAGCCCUCAGCUCAACUGAGGAAGUGCGCCCGAAACUGCAGAGCUUGAGUGCCGGAGAGGGUGGCGGAAUUCCCCAAGUAGAGGUGAAAUUCGUAGAUAUGGGGAGGAACACCGGUGGCGAAGGCGGCCACCUGGACGGUAACUGACGCUGAGACGCGAAAGCGUGGGGAGCAAACA